UCUAUCUUACCCUGCAACGCUAUAAAUACGUUCAUAUAACAUAUGGUAGGGUGGGGGAAGAUGGGAUAC
rnacentral:miRNA from 1 species